UACGGAGGGUGCGAGCGUUGUCCGGAAUCAUUGGGCGUAAAGGGCGCGUAGGUGGCCACUUCAAGCGUGCGGUGAAAGUCGGGGGCUCAACCCCUGAUCGGCCGUGCGAACUGGGGGGCUGGAGCACUGUAGAGGCAGGCGGAAUUCCGGUGUAGCGGUGAAAUGCGUAGAUAUCGGAAGGAACACCUGUGGCGAAAGCGGCUCACUGGACCAUUACUGACGCUGAGGCACGAAAGCUAGGGGAGCAAACAGG
rnacentral:rRNA from 1 species